UGUUCGGUAAAUUUUCACCAAAUAAAAGCUUUAGGAGGUGCGUCACAGGUCUCAUCAUCCUCUUCAUUGUCUUCUUCGUCGACCAACCCUUCUGAGGUUGAAAAUCAACGAGCUUGGUCGUCUAUGUGAUAGCUAAUGCCGAUAACGUUUGGCCACCAAGAAUUAUUUCUACCUCUCGAUGAGCUGCAAGAUCUAGAGCAUGCCAACUUGCCACCGAGGUGAAUCGGGCGAGUAAGAUGAAUAUAAUGGUGGUGUCGAAUCAUGAUGUUGACUUCUGGAUCGAGCAACUACGAUUGAGGAAGGAACACUCACGGUCUAGGGUUUUUAGAACCUGAAAACAAAGUUGUUAAUCUCAUUGUGAAGUUCAGGAUCUUCUGCACCAGGUUUGGCGGUUUCAACUAUAUUCGUCAAAAUAUAAGUGCGCUUAAUCGAUAUCAGGCUGUAAAGGCAAAGAUACUCAAAGGAAAUGAUAGUCUUUAUAGUGAAAGUUGUUUGGCCAGAUGAAUGUCGAACUCUGAAAUGUACCUGGGAGUAACCAAUCAUAGAACGCCCUUAUUUUGCUAGAAAGGUGAUAAGGUGACCUCUUUCAGCUAAGGAAUCAGAAAUCUUUCACUAGUUGUGACUUGGAUAGAUAACCAACAAGG
rnacentral:sRNA from 1 species